CACGUAGGGCGCAAGCGUUGUCCGGAAUUAUUUGGGCGUAAAGAGCUCGUAGGCGGUCUGUUGCGUCCGCUGUGAAAACUCGGGGCUUAACCCCGAGCCUGCAGUGGAUACGGGCAGACUAGAGGUAGGUAGGGGAGAAUGGAAUUCCUGGUGUAGCGGUGAAAUGCGCAGAUAUCAGGAGGAACACCGGUGGCGAAGGCGGGUCUCUGGGCCGAUACUGACGCUGAGGCACGAAAAGCGUGGGUAGCAAACAGG
rnacentral:rRNA from 1 species